rnacentral:lncRNA from 1 species
GACCUUCCGUGGCUCCCUAGUACCCACAGAAGUGCCCUGGCUCCUUACUCUGCCCCUUAUUCAAACAUGAGAAAUGCGGGUGAUGAUACUGACAGCUUACUGGAACCGAACGCCUGCCAUGUUUACACACUGGCUGGUUAACUUAUGUAAUCCCCGUGAGCACUCCGGAAAUAUUAUUCUUAUACACACACUGACACAGGAAGCUGGAGCCACUGUCUCAGUCUAGGCAGGAAACAGCACAAAGCUGUGGGCUGGGUGUAGCAGCUGCCACCUGGAGAGCUGGUACCAGCCCUAGGCUGAAGAUAAAGGACAGGGUGGUGUCCGGACCUGGCCAGAGCAGGGUCCAUUUGGUAAGGCCCAUGGGAGGUACAGCCAACCCACAGUGGCCAGCAGGAAAGCAGCUGGAAGAUCAAAUGGCCCCCCUCCCCCUCCCGCCUGCUGGGGUCUCCCGGCAGGAACCCCGAGUGAGGCUGCACAGGUCGGCCUCGCGUGCCAUGGAAGGAGGUGGCUGUGGAGGCACACACCGGGGACGUCUGGGAGUGACCUGGCCGCCGUCACAGAGCUGGCCACGGCCCCGCAGCCAUCCUGUCUCCUCCGAUCCUGAUGGUGAUGCUGACGACGAUGGCUUUGUCUCCUCACCCCAGAGUUUCCUUCUGACACGAGGACCGGCCCCAGGGGGCCAGCAGGAGCCCAGCGCCCCCCUCCUGGGCCUGAGUGAGCCCCUGGGCCUGGGACCCUCGCUGCUCUCUCUCUACCCGGAGGACGCUGCCGCCGCCGCCCAGCCUGCGAGCCCCUUCCAGCCAGUGGCCAGCUCGGCCCGCGCCCACUGAGCCAGCUCCGCGUCCCGCCCCCCUUCUCCUCCCGCCCCCGGGAGAACCUCAGCCACACUCCAAGCCGGCAGCCAGCACACAGGAUGGGGACCCCCUCCUGAGCGGCCCCCGCCAGCCCUGGGCCUACCUCAGCCCCCACCCCUCUGUGUGCUCCCAAGCUGGGGGGCCGAGUGGGGUGAUCUCAGCUCAGUGACCUCUGUGGGAGGGGGUGCUCGGCCCCCUCCUCCUCUCUCAGGACUUCCCGAUCCGUGAUUACCUCACCACCCUCCCUCCGACUCUUGGAUUCAUUUUGGGGAUGCAGGGCUGGGGAGGGCUGGGGGUCAGAUCCGUGAUUUGAGUACGGAUAACUGAAAUCACAUUUUUUUCCCUGUCCCUCUUUUAGUUUUGUUCUUCUUCUCUUUCUGAUGUGGUCUUGAAUCACUAGGAAUUGCCCAAGGUCCACAAGCAAGUGGCGCUCUGACCUUCCCCCUCCUCAGGUAUCAGUGGGGGAAGGCACUGGGCCAGACCUCACCCCCAGAGACUGCUGUUGAGGCCUCGGCCUUCCACGCUGGCCCCCCACCCCCCCAGCUCUGCCUGGCCCCCCACUCAGGAGUCCCUGCUACCCCCAGCUUCACCAGGGCAGUGACUCCACUGUGGUCUUCCUAUUCCUGGGGUCGCCUCCACCCUCCUCUGGUUCCAGACCGUGCAACCUGACCACUGGUUCUAGGCUGCACAACGUUCUGCCUUCUCCUGGUUCCAGACCGCACAAUCCACAGCACGGCCUGGUCCAGACCUCACAGCCUUUCCCAUCCUGGGCCGCACACCCUCCGCACUCUGGAUCUACAGCCUGUGACCACCCAUGCCCCCGGCUCUAGAACUCACUCUAGAACUCUGGUUUCCUCUUGCUCUGGAUUUCUCCUCGUAAAUCCCUCUGGUCCUCAGUGUCACACCCUCUAACCUCUUUUGGUCCCAGAUCUUACAACUAAUGACUUCCUCUGGUUCUGGACCGCACAACUCCAGGCUUCUCGUUGGUUCUAAUCUUCCUAGACUGUGAUGCGUGUGGUUCCAAAUCCAGACCUCCUAACUUUGAGUCGUCUUGGUUCCAAACAUCGCGAUGCCCAGUUGCUUCUUCCUUUCUACAUCAAGACUUUCUUCCCUACCACAAUGAAGUGGACUGAGCUUUAGGUCUUGGCCCUCCUGACCCAUUCUUCCAGAACCAGACCACACCCCAGUUCUGUUCAGUUCUGGACCCUCAAUCCCACACCUCAUGAGCUGCCACUUGCCUGGUUCUAGACCCCAGCUGCUAACGCCUUCUGAUUCUAGACCCACGCUUUAAGUCCCUUCAGUUCCAGUCCUCACAGUGUCCACCUCCCCUCACUCCAGACCCACGCUAGGUCUAGAACCAGCCUUCCAUCGUCUGAUCAAGGACCUUGCCUCACCCGUUUCUCUGCCUCUAGAGCUUACAACCCCAGACUCCUUCUGUUCUAGACUGGAUAAGUCCCAAUCCCUGUGGCUCCAGAACUUGGUCUGGGGGCUUCUUUCUAGCUCUGGUCCCUACUCUCUAAACUUCUCUGCCUCGCAGCCUGCAGCUGCCUCUGGUUUCAAACUUCACGUCCUGUGGUACUAGAACCCAGCUCCCCAGUGCUUCUGGUCCUAGAGUCUGGACUUCACCCUGGACACGGCUGUGGGUCUGACUCUUUGAACCCCUGCCUUCCGCAUCCCAGACCCCACCCUCCUGACUCCACUCUGGGCUUCUCACUCUGCUGACCUUGCCCCAAUUCCUACUCACGAGUCUUGUCUUCCCUUUCUGGACCCCCACCCUCCAGGGCCUCUGCCCAGGAGCUUCUCUGACGUCAAAUCCCUCACGUUGCCCUGGGAUGCCUUUGACUCUCAACCCCAGCCCUCCCCACACGCGCGCGCCUGGUUUAACCCAGAUGUCUGGAAGAACAGGGGCUUCCUUGCCGCCUUGGGUGGGGCUCAGAGUCCAGGAGAGGAGACGUCUCCGGCCACACAGGCACUCCGGCCACACAGGCACGUGCACAGCCCUUUCUGCAUGUCACGGGUAGGGAGAGGCCAGGACCACCCACCUCUCUGUCCCCUGACCCCCAGCCCCCUUCUCUGACGGUGCUGCUCUUGGCUUCCCACAGGAAACGCCUCCUCCCAGCUCUGUUCACCCCUUUUGUGGAAGGCACCACUCAGUCUGUUCACUUUUAGGGGGUGGCCUGUCCAGAUUGGUGCUAAGUGGGGGUAGAGGGUCUGACUCCCCCCACUUUGUUGGGUGACUCAGGCCCCUGAUGGAGGGAACUGUGCUGAGUUAGGGAGGGGGAGGGACUGGAUCCACAAAAAAAUCUCUGAACCCACAGACCUCUAGACCACCAUAAAGACCUUGCCUUGGUGGGCACCAGAACCCUGUGUGCUGACUCUUUCGUGGGGUUGCAUCCGGGGUGUGUGGCUGCACUGGGUGCCCAUGUUGUUUCUGACUGUGUGUGUGGUGACGUCAUUGUGUGACUGUGUGUGGGUCUCUGUGACGUAACUGUAAACCUGUGUUGGUGAAGGCUGUCAUUCCCUCUCGCUGUGUGUGGAUGAAACUGUCCUUCCUGCUGUGUGUUUCUGGUUAGUCGUGUGGCUCUCUGUGCUCCUGAGUAUGGGAGGCGUGGUGUCUUCUCUCCCUGUAACCUUGUAGCUGGCUGUGAUGUGGUUCUGGGUAUCAGUGGGAUUGUCUGACGCUGCAGUCCCAGUUAUGGCUGUGUAUCUGUGUGAAGCAACUCUGUACUUUAGGGUGUGCGUGGGGGCCGGUGCUGUGGUGCAGCUGGUUAAGCCGCCCACGUGGGCGCCGGCUGGAGUCCCGGCUGCUCCCCUUCCGAUCCAGCUCCCUGCUGCGGCGCCUGGGAAGGCAGCGGAGAACGGCCCAGCUCCUUGGGGCCCUGCACCUACAUGGGAGCCCAGAGGAAGCUCCUGGCUCCUGGCUUCAGUCUGGCCCAGCUCUGGCCAUUGUGGCCAUUUGGGGAGUGAACCAGCAGAUAGAAGACCUCUGUCUCUGUAACUCCUCUUUGCAAAUAAAUCUUAAAAAAAAAAAAAAAAAAAAAGAGGU